GACGAACGCUGGCGGCGUGCUUAACACAUGCAAGUCGAACGGUGAUGCUCCAGCUUGCUGGAGUGGAUCAGUGGCGAACGGGUGAGUAACAAGUGAGCAACCUGCCCCAGACUCUGGAAUAAGCGCUGGAAACGGCGUCUAAUACUGGAUACGAAACUGGCCCGCAUGGGCAGGGUUUGGAAAGUUUAUCGGGAUGGGAUGGGCUCGCGGACUAUCAGCUUGUUGGUGAGGUAACGGCUAACCAAGGCGACGACGGGUAGCCGGCCUGGGAGGGCGACCGGCCUCACUAGGCCUGCGAGACGCACCAGACUCCAACGGUGGGCAGGAGGCGGGAAUAUUUCACAGUGGGCGCAGGCCUGAUGCAGCGACGCCGGGUGAGGAAUGUCCGCCUUCUGGUUGUAAACCUCAUUAAGCUGGGAAGCAGCGACAGUGACGGUACCUGCAGAAGAAGCACCGGCUAACUACGUG
rnacentral:rRNA from 1 species